rfam:Oryctolagus cuniculus cont2.57584, whole genome shotgun sequence.
GAGAGCUGGUGUGAGGCUUGAGAUGGUGGCAUUUACAGAGGGUACCUGCUUAUCAGAGGUGGCAAGGCAGCCAAAGGAUGAAUCUACUAAUGAAAAUCCAGAAAUUUGCUAGUUUUUGUGUUAUGG